AUUUUAAUCCGUUGCCUGUUGGGUGGAAAGAUUCUGGUAGGUACUAAGGUAGGGCUUAAUAUCUGAUGUUAAAACUCUAGCAACUAAAAGAAACAGGGAAAUACUUUUCAGGAUUACACUUGACAGGGAAAAAAAAAAGCUAUUAUAUUGAGUGUUGGAAAGCACUUGACAGAAGAAAUAAGAAUUUGCUAUUUAUUUCCCAGUCUGAGGAGGUGAAAGCAAAGAACGUUUGUAUUUUUGCUGUGGUGUUUAGGGAACUUUUUUUGUAGCUGGGUUUUGUAGGUUUGUGUGUUUGCUGUUUUGUUUUGUGCUUUUUUAAAAAUAUAAGGCACUGUCUGGAAAUACAUGCUAAGCUGUCACUUUUUAGAUGUCACAGGCUUUUCAGAUGUAGGUAGUGUACAUCACCUUUUACACUUUCUUACCUCAAGAGCUGACUCCCUUGGCCAAAGACACGCGCAGUUACAGUGUGUGACCCUGUUCCUGGCAAAGGCUUGCAGUCAAAUGCAGCAGGGACAGGCAGGCCCUUACUGCUACGACCAGUUAAUAUUUAACCGUCCUGUGAACUCUGGCUUAGCUUUACUGUUCCACUUUACUGGGAGUGCCUGUUCUGGAAAGAAGUUUGAUACAGAAAUGCUAUUGAAAGUCCCCAUUGACAGUUCAGAGCCUGUUCUCAUCCAACUUCUAGAGACACUGGAGAGACCCAGGCUAACACAGCACCUUCAAACAUGUGAAUGUCUCAAAAUGGUGCACACUUUAACCUUCGCUGUGCAAGGAAGAUUUUUUAAAAUCUGUGAUGUCUGAUAAGGCUGCCUGUGUUAUACCUGCAGCUGGUUGUGACGGUGAGAACAGGCUGAUGUAGACAAGCUGGAGUUUGGUGUACCAGUAUGCGAGAAGCCAUUCAGAGGAUGAGCGUGAGGAUAAGCACUGCCAUUGGGGAGGUUCAAGCAGUCCCCUUUCCUUCCUACACCAGGAUUUAGUAUCCCCACCACCACCACCAGGACAGAAGGACUACACAGACAUGUAAACAACAGAAGGUAAACAACACCACCCAGCUCGGUCUAACAAACAGGCUGCUGCUGUUUCACUUCAGGACCUGAGGUGUUUCAGACAUUUCACAGAACCUGUAUUGACAGCAAACACAGGAAGGCUACAAGGUUACCUUGACUCUCCUUUGCAUGGGAAUUGCAUGCGCAGUGUGGCAGCGUGAGGGAAUGGCACCGCUUGAGGUUGCAAAACAAGCAUAUGCGAAGAGCCCGCUAAAAGCCUGCCUUAAGGUUGGGUAUCACUGGAGUUAGCAGUAUUUGUGAGUAGUAUCACUGCAGCACGUCUGGACUCUGACAGCACUUUCCAAACAGACCACAAAUCUUUGUUGCAUCCUUUGCAAAUUAUCCCCAGUUCACAGGCAAGGAAAAGGAGGGCCUUCGGAUAGCUUCCCAGAGCUCAGGUUUUACUGGUCUCAUUUCCCAACCCUGUGCUUUAAAUAUAGCACCAUUCUUCCUUCUCAGAAGCAUAUCACUUCUCAGCAUUCUAGGAUAAGCUUUCAAAUUCAAAGUGACUCUUCAAGUACUGCAAGUAGAAGGGCAGCGGACAGUCCCAGUUGCUACCAGAAGCUGUUUCACUUCAAUGACACCUCUGCUGAAAGAGGAGCCAGCUACUGUGCGAUACAUUGCACCCAUCCCUACGCUUCUUCAAGUUUGUCCAAAAACAGAAGUAAGGGUAACAUUAGCUGCAAAAGAAAAACUAUUUGAAAAUAACUGUGCUGAUCUGCUGUCUCGCAAAUUUAACUGCAACAGUAAGCCACACGGUGUUUUACUUAGUUGAAAUAUUUCAAAUAGAAAUGUUACACUAAAUGUGUAUACCAGAAAAAUACCUAGUGGAAAAAUGAAGAAUUCAGGAAAUUUGCUGCUUUAUGCCAAGGAACAAAUUUCCUUAUAGUUUAGCAGCAAAAGCAUCAGCUAGAGCUUGAAUGGGAUUUAAUUCUCAGCCGUAAAUUCACAUUUUGGUUUCACACACACUCCCUGAAAAAAACCCAAACCACCAGAUUGGCAGGUGUUGGGCUCAUGGUUUGGUUUUUGUUUUUUUUCUACUGCAGGGUGAUCACCAUGGCUUGAACUCAAAACUGGUUUCAGCCUUUCUACCUGUUUCUAACAUGAACAGCAAGUUUGACAGGCUCAGCUCGUAUGCUAGAUCAAAUUGAAGCUUUUAAGAAUUGCUGCUAAAAAAGCAGCUGGGAAAAGGUGGGUUUUGAGCAUGGUAUUUAAAUGCUCAGCUGCCUUCUCUUGUGCACAUUGUUUGUUUCAAAUAGUUUUACUUCUUCUACCCUCCCAGUGAGAACUACAGUGAUGCCCUAUCUUCAGUUAUCAUAGGAAAGGAGAUGAAUCACCACAAACAUAAGAUACAACAUUUACAGCUGCCAGUACAACAGCAGGUAAAAUAAAGAGGGAGGAGGCCUGUUUUUCUUAAAUAGGCAUUUCUGCAAUCCUUUUGAUCCCCCAGGAGAAAAGGAAACUUAAGAAAUUCUCCUUAAAUAAAAGCUAUGUACAAAUUGCA